UGACUCUCUUUUUUCCUUGAAUGUGAACACAUGAGUGAAGCAUACAUCCAUUGUCCAUGGAGCAAGAAACAUGAGGAUGAAAAGCCAAUAUGUUAAGGAUGUGAAGUGAAAAGCGGGAAGAGCUUCUUAUUCAUGUUAUCACUGAGCAGCGGGAACUGGGGGCUCUGCUCAUUAUAGUUGCCUACGGCCUCCAGCCAUUGAAAUCUCUGGCCAAUGAAAUGCUCUACUGUGACUGAAGCAGCAAAGGCAAGAUGGGUGGCUUUGAAAUCAGAAUUGGAUGCAGAGGGAGUCCCAGAGGCCAACACUGUCAACAUAAGAAGGGAAAGACCAGUUCUGCAGGCACAGAUGAAAUUUUGAGAAGCAGAGCUACAGUUCUGCUGGAGGCCUCUCCAGAUUGUGAUGCACUGGGAGCAAGCGACCAUGACCAUGUUCUCAGGUCUCCAGUCUUCUGCCAUUGCAUGAUAAAUGGAGCUUGUCAAACACGGAGCAGAGCUGAAAUUUCUGAAUUCCACAGGACUGUUCAGAGUGCUUGAAAUGACACCUACCCACAAUUA
rnacentral:lncRNA from 1 species